rnacentral:rRNA from 1 species
UACGUAGGUGGCAAGCGUUGUUCGGAAUUAUUGGGCGUAAAGGGCGCGUAGGCGGUUUGUUAAGUCGGUCGUGAAAGCCCGGGGCUCAACCCCGGAGGGUCGACCGAUACUGGCAGACUAGAGUACAGAAGAGGUAACUGGAAUUCCCGGUGUAGCGGUGAAAUGCGUAGAUAUCUGGAGGAACACCGGUGGCGAAGGCGGCAUUCUGGACCAUAACUGACACUGAGGAGCGAAAGCGUGGGGAGCGAACAGG